rnacentral:rRNA from 1 species
CCUACGGGAGGCUGCAGUGGGGAAUAUUGCACAAUGGGCGCAAGCCUGAUGCAGCCAUGCCGCGUGUGUGAAGAAGGCCUUCGGGUUGUAAAGCACUUUCAGCGGGGAGGAAGGCGGUGAGGUUAAUAACCUCAUCGAUUGACGUUACCCGCAGAAGAAGCACCGGCUAACUCCGUGCCAGCAGCCGCGGUAAUACGGAGGGUGCAAGCGUUAAUCGGAAUUACUGGGCGUAAAGCGCACGCAGGCGGUCUGUCAAGUCGGAUGUGAAAUCCCCGGGCUCAACCUGGGAACUGCAUUCGAAACUGGCAGGCUAGAGUCGUGUAGAGGGGGGUAGAAUUCCAGGUGUAGCGGUGAAAUGCGUAGAGAUGUGGAGGAACACCAGUGGCGAAGGCGACUCUUUGGUCUGUAACUGACGCUGAGGCGCGAAAGCGUGGGGAGCAAACAGGAUUAGAUACCCCAGUAGUC